GUAACGGCGAGUGAAGCGGCAACAGCUCAAAUUUGAAAUCUGGCUCUUGAGCCCGAGUUGUAAUUUGUAGAGGAUGCUUUUGGCGAGGUUCCUUCUGAGUUCCCUGGAACGGGACGCCAGAGAGGGUGAGAGCCCCGUACGGUCGGACACUAAGCCUCUGUAAAGCUCCUUCGACGAGUCGAGUAGUUUGGGAAUGCUGCUCAAAAUGGGAGGUAAAUUUCUUCUAAAGCUAAAUACCGGCCAGAGACCGAUAGCGCACAAGUAGAGUGAUCGAAAGAUGAAAAGCACUUUGAAAAGAGGGUUAAAUAGCACGUGAAAUUGUUAAAAGGGAAGCGCUUGUGACCAGACUUGCGCCUGGUAAAUCAUCUAGCGUUCUCGCUAGUGCACUUUGCCGGCUCAGGCCAGCAUCAGUUCGCUGUCGGGGACAAAAGCUUCGGGAACGUGGCUCUCUUCGGGGAGUGUUAUAGCCCGCUGCAUAAUACCCUUCGGCGGACUGAGGUUCGCGCUCCGCAAGGAUGCUGGCAUAAUGGUCAUCAGCGACCCGUCUUGAAACACGGACCAAGGAGUCAACCUUAUGUGCGAGUGUUUGGGUGUUAAACCCCUACGCGUAAUGAAAGUGAACGCAGGUGAGAGCUUCGGCGCAUCAUCGACCGAUCCUGAUGUUCUCGGAAGGAUUUGAGUAGGAGCAUAUAGGGUUGGACCCGAAAGAAGGUGAACUAUGCGUGUAUAGGGUGAAGCCAGAGGAAACUCUGGUGGAGGCUCGCAGCGGUUCUGACGUGCAAAUCGAUCGUCAAAUAUGCGCAUGGGGGCGAAAGACUAAUCGAACCUUCUAGUAGCUGGUUUCCGCCGAAGUUUCCCUCAGGAUAGCAGUGUUGAGCUCAGUUUUAUGAGGUAAAGCGAAUGAUUAGGGACUCGGGGGCGCUAUAUUGCCUUCAUCCAUUCUCAAACUUUAAAUAUGUAAGAAGCCCUUGUUGCUUAAUUGAACGUGGGCAUUCGAAUGUAUCAACACUAGUGGGCCAUUUUUGGUAAGCAGAACUGGCGAUGCGGGAUGAACCGAACGCGAGGUUAAGGUGCCAGAGUAGACGCUCAUCAGACACCACAAAAGGUGUUAGUACAUCUUGACAGCAGGACGGUGGCCAUGGAAGUCGGAAUCCGCUAAGGACUGUGUAACAGUAAGUUAACCCCCUAAUAUCAACACCUAUCACCACUAAGAAUUUAAUGCUAACCCUCGUAACAGACUCACCUGCCGAAUGUACUAGCCCUGAAAAUGGAUGGCGCUCAAGCGUCUCACCCAUACCUCGCCCUCAGCGUAGAAACGAUGCGCUGAGGAGUAGGCGGACGUGGAGGUCAGUGA
rnacentral:rRNA from 1 species